UACGGAGGGGGCGAGCGUUGUCCGAAGUUACUGGGCGUAAAGGGCGCGUAGGCGGGAAGCUAAGUCCGCUGUCAAAGCCCGGGGCUUAACCCCGGAAGGUCGGUGGAGACUGGUUUUCUUGAAGCUGCCAGGGGGAGAUGGAAUUACCGGUGUAGCGGUGAAAUGCUUAGAUAUCGUCAAGAACACCGAUAGCGAAGGCAGCUUACUAGGCUGUAACUGACGCUGAUGACACGAAAGUGUGGGGAUCAACAGG
rnacentral:rRNA from 1 species